AGGACGAACGCUGGCGGCGUGCUUAACACAUGCAAGUGGAGCGACGAACCAGGGCUUGCCCUGGGGCAGAGCCGCGAACGGGUGAGUAACACGUGGGUUACCUGCCUCGAUGACCGGGACAACCCGAGGAAACUCGGGCUAAUACCGGAUGUGCCCGCAAGGGGAAAGGAAGCUUCGGCCUCCGCAUCGAGAUGGGCCCGCGGCCCAUUAGCUUGUUGGUGAGGUAACGGCUCACCAAGGCUUCGAUGGGUAGCUGGUCUGAGAGGACGAUCAGCCACACUGGGACUGAGACACGGCCCAGACUCCUACGGGAGGCAGCAGUGGGGAAUUUUGCGCAAUGGGGGAAACCCUGACGCAGCAACGCCGCGUGGAGGAUGAAGUCCUUUGGGACGUAAACUCCUUUCGACCAAGACGAUAAUGACGGUACUGGUGGAAGGAGCACCGGCUAACUCUGUGCCAGCAGCCGC
rnacentral:rRNA from 1 species